rnacentral:rRNA from 1 species
GAAGCAGCUUGCUGCUUCGCUGACGAGUGGCGGACGGGUGAGUAAUGUCUGGGAAACUGCCUGAUGGAGGGGGAUAACUACUGGAAACGGUAGCUAAUACCGCAUAACGUCGCAAGACCAAAGAGGGGGACCUUCGGGCCUCUUGCCAUCGGAUGUGCCCAGAUGGGAUUAGCUAGUAGGUGGGGUAACGGCUCACCUAGGCGACGAUCCCUAGCUGGUCUGAGAGGAUGACCAGCCACACUGGAACUGAGACACGGUCCAGACUCCUACGGGAGGCAGCAGUGGGGAAUAUUGCACAAUGGGCGCAAGCCUGAUGCAGCCAUGCCGCGUGUAUGAAGAAGGCCUUCGGGUUGUAAAGUACUUUCAGCGGGGAGGAAGGCGGUGAGGUUAAUAACCUCAUCGAUUGACGUUACCCGCAGAAGAAGCACCGGCUAACUCCGUGCCAGCAGCCGCGGUAAUACGGAGGGUGCAAGCGUUAAUCGGAAUUACUGGGCGUAAAGCGCACGCAGGCGGUCUGUCAAGUCGGAUGUGAAAUCCCCGGGCUCAACCUGGGAACUGCAUUCGAAACUGGCAGGCUAGAGUCUUGUAGAGGGGGGUAGAAUUCCAGGUGUAGCGGUGAAAUGCGUAGAGAUCUGGAGGAAUACCGGUGGCGAAGG